AACGCAUCUUGCACUCUUUGGUAUUCCGAGGAGUAUGCCUGUUUGAGAAUCAUUUAACCUCUCAACCCUUUACUUUUGACCUUUAAAGGUUUAAAAGUGAAAGGUUAGAUUUGAAUAAUGGUCUUUUUUUUGGACCUUGUUUAAAAUAAAAGGUAUAGGUAAUGUGAAAAGCUUUACUUUUAUGUUAUCAAUGGUAAACCGUUAAGGUGAACCUUUUAUCAUGAAUGUUAAGAUCUCUCCCUUAAAUAUGUAAAAAGAUUUUGUUGCAUAUCAUAUUUUUAAACUAAUGAAACUUUGAAUCUUUUUUUUAAGGUUUUUAUUUCAUUAGACAUAACACUUUUUAGUUGUGACCUUGGUCUCGAAUCAGGCAAGAGUAGCCGCUGAUCUUA
rnacentral:misc_RNA from 1 species